CCGCGGCUUCCGCGGCGGUUUCUCCUCCUCUCGCUCCUCCUGCUCGCCCGGCGCCCGUUUCUCUCGCUGCCGCUGCCGCCGCCGCCGCCGCCGCCGUUUGUCUCCUCUCCCUCCUCCUCCUCCUUUUCCUCCUCCUCCCGCUCCUCGAUGCUCCGCCGCUCGCGGCUGGGGGGUCCGGGGCCGCGUCUCCUCUCCUCCCUCCGCCUCUCCUGUUUCCUCCUUCCUGCUGCCUCUUCUUUUAAAGCGGAUUCUUUGGCCACAAAUAGCAACUCGGCUGCCCCCCUCGGUGCCUCCCUCCCCUUCUUCUCUUCUUCCCCCCAAAAGUGAAGCGCACGCGAGGUAAAGAAACGAAGACCCUGAGAAUUUAAAAUCAUCCAACUAUUUGGUGCCAGAAGCAGGACAAGAACUCAGAUAUCAUGAUCCAGUGCCCUCCAUCCCACCAACUGUUCAUCACCUCCACAUUCUGGAUCAAAGAAGCCAGUUUUCCAACUUAUCAAAUUAAAUCAGAAACAACAAAACUACUGCUUCUGAGAGAGAAGAGAUAUUGCUUGUAAUUUUGGGCUUAAGGAAUUCAUUUUCUUGAGAAGAAAGUAUUCUUGGUGAACUCUAAGAAUAGAAAACUAUCAAUUUACAACUAGGACACAUGGAUUUCUCCAAGAGUUAACAUAAUGCCUAACAAAUAAGAGGUACAGUAUCCACACUAUAUUAGUUAAAUAUUAACAUUUAUAUGGUACUUCAUAAGUCACGGAGAACCUUAAGAGAUAUCUUUUAAGGCUCCUAAUAAUUUUGUAAGUGGCAAAACACCGAUUUUAUGGCUGACCCAGACUCAUUGAUUGAUCCAGACCCCGAAUCAGAAACUCUGGGCUAGCUUCUGGGAGUCCGAAUUGUUGGCAAGCUUCUCAGGUAAUUCUGAAAACCACCAUGAUAACUCAAUUCAAAUUUAUUGAUUUGUUUUAUUGCUCCCAGGAAAAUGAUCCCGUGAGCAGAUUCUGGCAUUUCCUAAGAAGCUAGCUGCCUUUUUCUGGGAUUUGCCUUUUUCUUGCUUCUGUAGUUCUUAAAAGGAAAAAAAAAAAAAAAAUUCACAGGUGGCACCAUUUUACCUAAAUCUACAAGCUAUAUAAUUCUGCUCUGCACAGCUGGUUUCUUCUUACAGUCAGUUGUCCCUGCUCUGAAGAAAGCUUCUAGCUGCUGGCACUGGUAGGAGGUUUGAAUCCUACCCACUAUCCUUCUGGCCAUAACUAAGGUCCUAACAGCCGGCAGAGAACACAGGCUUCCUUCAGCAGUCAGCUGUAAUUACGUGAAAUUUAUACCGGGCAUUGUAGAACAAACCCAGCAACCUGCUGGGACAUUUCAGGGGUUUUUAGCAUUUUAGUUGGGAACCACUAGUUCUAGCUGUUAUACUCAGGGAGAGAAUUGGUCAUGAGCUAUUUGUGUUGGUAUAUGUCUCUUUCCAUCAGUUAAAAAAAAAAAAAAA
rnacentral:lncRNA from 1 species